rnacentral:rRNA from 1 species
CCUACGGGAGGCAGCAGUGGGGAAUAUUGGGCAAUGGGCGCAAGCCUGACCCAGCAACGCCGCGUGAAGGAAGAAGGCUUUCGGGUUGUAAACUUCUUUUCUCAGGGACGAAGAAAGUGACGGUACCUGAGGAAUAAGCCACGGCUAACUACGUGCCAGCAGCCGCGGUAAUACGUAGGUGGCAAGCGUUAUCCGGAUUUACUGGGUGGAAAGGGCGUGGAGGCGGGAAAGCAAGUCAGAUGUGAAAACCAUGGGCUCAAACUGUGGCCUGCAUUUGAAACUGGUUUUCUUGAGUACUGGAGAGGCAGACGGAAUUCCUAGUGGAGCGGUGAAAUGCGUAGAUAUUAGGAGGAACACCAGUGGCGAAGGCGGUCUGCUGGACCGCAACUGACGCUGAGGCGCGAAAGCGUGGGGAGCAAACAGGAUUAGAUACCCGGGUAGUC